UGGGGAAUAUUGCACAAUGGGCGCAAGCCUGAUGCAGCCAUGCCGCGUGUGUGAAGAAGGCCUUCGGGUUGUAAAGCACUUUCAGCGGGGAGGAAGGCGUUAAGGUUAAUAACCUCAUCGAUUGACGUUACCCGCAGAAGAAGCACCGGCUAACUCCGUGCCAGCAGCCGCGGUAAUACGGAAGGUGCAAGCGUUAAUCGGAAUUACUGGGCGUAAAGCGCACGCAGGCGGUCUGUCAAGUCGGAUGUGAAAUCCCCGGGCUCAACCUGGGAACUGCAUUCGAAACUGGCAGGCUAGAGUCUUGUAGAGGGGGGUAGAAUUCCAGGUGUAGCGGUGAAAUGCGUAGAGAUCUGGAGGAAUACCGGUGGCGAAGGCGGCCCCCUGGACAAAGACUGACGCUCAGGUGCGAAAGCGUGGGGAGCAAACAGGAUUAGAUACCCUGGUAGUCCACGCCGUAAACGAUGUCGAUUUGGAGGUUGUGCCCUUGAGGCGUGGCUUCCGGAGCUAACGCGUUAAAUCGACCGCCUGGGGAGUACGGCCGCAAGGUUA
rnacentral:rRNA from 1 species